UACAGAGGUCCCAAGCGUUGUUCGGAUUCAUUGGGCGUAAAGGGCGCGUAGGCGGCCUGCUAAGUCGAACGUGAAAUCCCUGGGCUCAACCCAGGAACUGCGUCCGAUACUGGUUGGCUUGAAUCCGGGAGAGGGACGUGGAAUUCCAGGUGUAGCGGUGAAAUGCGUAGAUAUCUGGAGGAACACCGGUGGCGAAGGCGACGUCCUGGACCGGCAUUGACGCUGAGGCGCGAAAGCCAGGGGAACAAACGGG
rnacentral:rRNA from 1 species